UACAGAGGUCUCAAGCGUUUGUUCGGAUUCAUUGGGCGUAAAGGGUGCGUAGGCGGCGCGGUAAGUCGGGUGUGAAAUCUCGGAGCUUAACUCCGAAACUGCAUUCGAUACUGCCGUGCUUGAGGACUGGAGAGGAGACUGGAAUUUACGGUGUAGCGGUGAAAUGCGUAGAUAUCGUAAGGAAGACCAGUGGCGAAGGCGGGUCUCUGGACAGUUCCUGACGCUGAGGCACGAAGGCCAGGGGGAGCAAAACGGG
rnacentral:rRNA from 1 species